rnacentral:rRNA from 1 species
UACGUAGGAUGCGAGCGUUGUCCGGAAUUAUUGGGCGUAAAGAGUAUGUAGGCGGUUGCGCAAGUUUGGUGUGAAAUCUCCCGGCUUAACUGGGAGGGUGCGUCGAAAACUGCGCGGCUAGAGUGCGGGAGAGGAGAGCGGAAUUCCUGGUGUAGCGGUGAAAUGCGUAGAUAUCAGGAGGAACACCGGCGGUGUAGACGGCUCUCUGGACCGCGACUGACGCUGAGAUACGAAAGCGUGGGGAGCAAACAGG